GGCCGCCUGGCGAAAUGGCAUCGCGUCUGACUACGAGAUCCACAGUAGACUGAAGUAAUCAGGAGAUUGCAGGUUCGACCCCUGCGGUGGUCA